CAAACCUAAUAUGCAGACUAAAAAGAAACGGAGGGAGUAUUUUGUAAACUAACAUGAAGAGAGAUCAACAUUAUUAUCUAUGUUUCUGACUAUUCUGCAAAAUCUAGCUUGUUCUAGUCCUACAAUUUCGUAGUUGUUGUUGAAUACAAUACACUAAAAAUGUAUGCAAUACCACUGUAUAUAAUGGUUGAGUGUAAGAUAACCAGUUUCGAUCUUUCUCUGAUCAUAAUUGAUUCCCGUGAACCAACAGCUAGAAGAUCUUGCCCAAUAAUUUGUAAGUCCAUGGAACAGGCCAGUUGUGUAUGAUACAGACAGUGCCGGUCGGCUAUGGUAAAGUAAAAUACACGAGAAACUAAUGCUGUUUUAAUAUUACUAUAACAGAAGUAGAACAAGCCGUCCGUCCAAUCAAUAUUACUGCACUGUGGACCAAGACACAUAAUUCUGGUUGGCCAUGAUUAUCCGUUUUAUGGCACCCAAUUCUUUCACCACAGCGCCCAUCUUUAUGCGCUGUCUUGCAGAGCCCCUGCAGCAAGCUAGACCAAGUCUUGAAACUGGAGCAGCGAACAAUUCUAAAGUCACUUGAGGCUCUUGAUUGCAUCUUAUAUUGACGUCCAUUAUAUCCAACAGAUUACCAGGACAUGCCAUCUUAACGUACUUUGGUAGAUUCGUACUAGUUUUAAUAUUACUAUAACAGAAGUAGAACAAGCCGUCCGGCACACCAUAGCAUGUCCUGGUAAGUAGUAUCGCCGAAUCUACCAGUAAGAUGGCAUGUCCUGGUAAGUAGUAUUUGGAGUAGUAUCACCGAAAAAUGGGUCAGUUGGCCUUCUCCCAGUAAGCAUCUCCAACAAUAGCACACCAUAGCUGUACACGUCGCCUUCCACAGAUAUUCCUGUCCCCGUGCCAUACUCUGGUAAAGAAAGGAAAAGAAAGGGUUUGUGUUAGCUUUCUUAUAAACUACUCCCUCUGUUCCGAAAUAGUUGUCAUCGGGGAUUAUCAGUUCAUUUUUUGUCACGUUACGAUAUUUCUCCCGUUUCCCCUUUUGCCCUCGCACUCGCUCUCUCCCCGACCACACGCUCUCUCCCGGCCAACACUCUCUCCCCGACCACUCGCUCCUCCCCGCCCAGAUCCCUUGCGCCGCCGGCCAGUCGCCGCCCUCUCCCUCUCGUCGGUGUCUUCCUCACCGCAGCCUUGCUCCUCACCACCCCUAAAACUAGCAACCCGUCUCCCCCUCGUCGGUCAAAGGUGAAAUUUUUACCAGCCGGGGUGCUCGAUCUGUGGGCGGCGGUGCUCGAUCCGUGUUGGAGCAGCGGGAGGAGGAGGGCAGUGCUGGAUUGGAGCAGCGGUGCUGGACCGGAGCAGCGGGAAUAGGGGGGUGGUGCCGGCCGCUCUUACUUUGUGUAGUCCUCUUCGCUCUCGUCAUGUCGUUGCCGCCGCCGAGGAAGAUGGAGAGCCUGUCGGAGGGAGGAGCGCCAUGGCCAGUUCUGACCUCCUCCGUCCAGAUCCAGCUCCAGCAAUCAUCCCCUCUUGCUGCUUGCUCUCUCAAUUUCAAGACUGAAGAAGAGAACAUGGGGAGCAGCAGCUGCCCUCUGCUCUGCUCUUAUGCGAAUGCUCUACUGCAGGACCGUGGCAGCGAUGCUCGCCGAAGCGGACGACAACCACUCCCGUGCAAACAAAGGUGAGCAUUCAGGAAAAGAACACUUGGCUAAACUUCAGGAAAAAGAUGCACCGAAUCUUACACCUGCACCAAGACAUACAACAAAGAAAUGAAUAAAUGAAAUGAUCAAGUGAUGAAGUGAUGGAAUGAUCAAGUGAUGAAAUGAUCAAGUGUAACUGUACCUGGAUUUUGAACAAUUUCAUCUCCUUCCAUUCCCUCUCCGGCAUCUCCUUCCAUAUCAUCUCCUACAUGUCCUUCCAUUUCAUUUUCUGCAUUUUCAUCCAUUUCAUCCACAUCUUCUGCAGGUGGAGCGAACUUGAGGUCUGGGAGAUCCAUUUUCUCCUGAAGAUAUGAAUAUGUAAGAUGAAGUAGAAGUAGAAGUAGAAGUAGAAGUAGAAGUACAAGAAGAAGAAGAAGAAGAAGAAGAAGAACAUAUAAAUUCAGUCUGUGUACUGUCAAUUGUUGUAUGUUUACUGUCAAAGCAAGAAUUAGUCAAUUGCUGUCUGUUUACUGUCAAAUCAAGAAUGACAAUAUUGUUAUGGUCAAUUGUUGUCCGUUUACUGUCAAAGCAAGAAUUAGUUUCCUAGGUUAAUGAAACAUUACCAGCCAUAAUUAGUUUUAUGUAUCUUAAUUAUCUCUGAACAUUUUUGCCUGAAAACUGAAUGUACAAUGUUUCUGUAGAUAAUUUGGUCGAAAAGGGACGACAUGCUGAGGUGUACAACAUUCAGUUUCUCUUUCGACAUGCUGAGCUCUAUAAGUGCUCACAUUCUUUGUAUGGAUCUUAUUGAAUGAGUACUUGUUAACAUUGGUACCAUUUUCUUCAGAUUUUCGUUGGUGGUCUUCUGAUUGAUUUGGAAGGAAGAAUUGUUGGUAUGAAUUUCAUAGACGAGAAUAGAACUCCCUUUUUGCCCGUCCAAAUUGUUGGGAGAUGCCUGAAACACUUCAGAAAUUUGGCGUUUGUUUUACAGGACACUUCUUUCCUGUAUAUGGGACGAUUGCUUGAAGGAUUUGGUGUUGGUGUCAUAUCCUACACGUUUUGACAGGUGAACAGAUGGACAGUGGCUGCUCCUUGCUGAUCAAUUCAAAAUUGCUCUGGCUAUCAAUUCAAGCUUGCUGUGACUGGUGAGAAGACGUCCUGGUCAAUCACCACAUCUGAUCAAUUUCAGUCUGUGGCGAGAAGAAGUGGUACAACUCCGGCGAUCAAUUUCUUUGGCGAUUAACAAUUUUGAUCAAUUCAAACAGCAACACAGGCAGCGCUAGUGCUGCUGUUGGUCAGUGCGGGGAGGAGCACGGGCGGAGGUCAAUUGGCCGGAUCCGGAGCUCCAGUGCCUAAAUCGAGGAGCUGGAAGGCUGAGGCAGGAGGAGGAGCACAGGCUGCGCUGCUGCGGCUGUUGGUCAGUGCGGGGAGGAGCACGGACGGAGGUCAAUUGGCCGGAUCCGGAGCUCCAGUGCCUGAAUCGAGGAGCUGGAAGGCUCAGGCAGGAGGAGGAGGAGCACGGGCGGCGCUGCUGCUGGUCGGUGCGGGGAGGAGCAUGGGCGGCGCGAAGGCCAGGAGUCGCGGGCGGCUGGAGGCUGUGGCGGACGGCGAGGGAGCUGCGUACGAGUUUGGGCUCUUGAUUGGAGCGGAGGAAGGCGCCCGAUGAGGGAGCUGCGACCGGCGCGGACGGACGCCGGAGCUGCAGCAGUGGGAUGGAGCCUGGCGAAGGGGAGGAGCGAUGGAGUAAGACGAAGAUCCCCAGCGACAAGAAUUUCAAAUUGAGGGUAGUUUGGUACUUUAUCCUGUUUUCACCUGGUCGGAAAAGUUCCCCAACGACAACUAUUUCAGAACAGAGGGAGUAUAUGGUAUAAAUAUAAUUCAUUCCACUCAAAUUCCUUAGUCGUUUACAUAUACUCCCUCCGUCCCAUAAUGUAAGACGCUUUUUGACACUACACUAGUGUGGAAAAACGUUUUACAUUAUGGGACAGAGGUAGUAGUAGUUAAUUGUAUUCUCGGCACAACAAAUUAUGGUAAAUGGAUACACAUUUUUUUUA